AAUCAGCGCAUGCUUCGCUUACGCUUUCAGUGGCCGAAGGUUUACAUUUUGUCUUCGGAGGGGAGUUUCCUAGUGGCGAACGGGUGAGUAACGCGUUGGUGACCUGCGCCGAAGUGAGGGAUAACAGUUCGAAAGGGCUGUUAAUUCCCCAUGUGAUCAGUUGGAUUAGAUGCCUGCUGAUUAAAGGAGUAAUCCGCUUUGGGAGGGGCCUGCGUGCCAUCAGCUAGUUGGUAGGGUAAAAGCCUACCAAGGCGAUGACGGGUAGGGGACCUGAGAGGGUGACCCCCCACACUGGCACUGAAACACGGGCCAGACACCUACGGGUGGCAGCAGUAGGGAAUAUUGGACAAUGGGCGAAAGCCUGAUCCAGCAACGCCGCGUGCGCGAUGACGGCCUUCGGGUUGUAAAGCGCUUUUAGGAGAGAUGAGAAAGGACAGUAUCUCCAGAAUAAGCCUCGGCGAACUACGUGCCAGCAGCCGCGCUAAAACGUAGGAGGCAAGCGUUAUCCGGAUUUAUUGGGCGUAAAGCGUGUGCAGGCGGUUUAGCAAGUUGGAUGUGAAAGCUCCCGGCUUAACUGGGAGAGGUCGUUCAAAACUGCUAGACUAGAGAAUGGAAGAGGGAGGUGGAAUUCCGGGUGUAGUGGUGAAAUGCGUAGAUAUCCGGAGGAACACCAGUGGCGAAAGCGGCCUCCUAGGCCAUUUCUGACGCUAAGACACGAAAGCUAGGGUAGCACACGGGAUUAGAGACCCCGGUAGUCCUAGCUGUAAACGAUGUAGACUUGGCGUUGGCGGAGUUAAAUCUGCCAGUGCCGUAGCUAACGCGUUAAGUCUACCGCCUGGGGACUACGACCGCAAGGUUA
rnacentral:rRNA from 1 species